rnacentral:lncRNA from 1 species
AGCUAACGCGGGGCGGCCGCCGCGGCGGGGGCAAGAUUUGUCCUUCCUGCGGCUGCGAACCCACCGCGGGUUUGCGUAUUUCCCUUGAUUCCUGGAGGACAGAGCUGGGAUGGACUUGACCCAAGACUCAGGGAUGACGAAAGGGAAAUAAACAGAGUAACGUAGUACUGGAUAAUCUUUCUGAUUUACGAACUAUGAUUUACUCAUCUUCAAUUUGAGGGGCCGCUUUUAGGGGGUUGAGACCUUGCACAACUCCCAGUCUGGCUCUACCUGGCUGGGGGCAUCUUUAACCCGUUCUACGCCGGAGCGGCAUCGAAUACACCUGGAUUCAGAAUC